rnacentral:rRNA from 1 species
CCAAUAGCGUAUAUUAAAGUUGUUGCAGUUAAAAAGCUCGUAGUUGAAUUUCGGGAUUAGCAAGUUGGUCGUGCCUUCGGUAUGCACUGGCUUUGCUGAUUCCUCCUUCUUGAAGAACUGUAAUGCUAUUAAUUUAGUGUUGCAGGGAAACAGGACUGUUACUUUGAAAAAAUUAGAGUGUUUAAAGCAGGCUAACGCUUGAAUACAUUAGCAUGGAAUAAUGAAAUAGGACGUUUGAUCCUAUUUUGUUGGUUUCUAGGAUUGACGUAAUGAUUAAUAGGGAUAGUUGGGGGCAUUAGUAUUCAAUUGUCAGAGGUGAAAUUCUUGGAUUUAUUGAAGACUAACUACUGCGAAAGCAUUUGCCAAGGAUGUUUUCAUUAAUCAAGAACGAAAGUUAGGGGAUCGAAGACGAUCAGAUACCGUCGUAGUCUUAACCAUAAACUAUGCCGACUAGGGAUCGGAUGAUGUUAAUUUUUUAAUGACUCAUUCGGCGCCUUACG